GACGUAGGUGGCAAACGUUAUCCGGAAUUAUUGGGCGUAAAGGGUGCGUAGGUGGUCUGAUAAGUUAUCAGUGGCAAAUCGAGGCUCAACCUCGUGGAAACUGGUAAUACUGUCAGGCUUGAGUGCAGGAGAGGUUAACGGAACUCUAUGUGGAGCGGUAAAAUGCACAGAUAUAUAGAAGAACAUCAAUAACGGCGAAGGCAGUUAACUAUUCUGUUACUGACACUGAGGCACGAAAGCGUGGGGAGCAAAACGG
rnacentral:rRNA from 1 species